GGGCCGUUAGCUCAGUUGGUAGAGCAGCUGACUCUUAAUCAGCGGGUCGUGGGUUCGAUCCCCUCACGGCCCA
rnacentral:tRNA from 1 species